rnacentral:rRNA from 1 species
GACGAACGCUGGCGGCGUGCUUAACACAUGCAAGUCGAACGGAAAGGCCCUGCUUUUGUGGGGUGCUCGUGUGGCGAACGGGUGAGUAACACGUGAGUAACCUGCCCUUGUCUUUGGGAUAUCUUCAGGAAACUCGGGCUAAUACCGGAUAGGAGCUCCUGCUGCAUGGUGGGGAUUGGAGAGUUUCGGUGUUUGGGUAUGGACUCGCGGCUUAUCAGCUUGUUGGGGGGGUAGUGGCUUACCAAGGCUUUGACGGGUAGCCGGCCUGAGAGGGUGACCGGCCACAUUGGGACUGAGAUACGGCCCAGACUCCUACGGGAGGCAGCAGUGGGGAAUAUUGCACAAUGGGCGGAAGCCUGAUGCAGCAACGCCGCGUGCGGGAUGACGGCCUUCGGGUUGUAAACCGCUUUCGCCUGUGACGAAGCGUGAGUGACGGUAAUGGGUAAAGAAGCACCGGCUAACUACGUG